AGCAGCCGCGGUAAUUCCAGCUCCAAUAGCGUAUAUUAAAGUUGUUACAGUUAAAAAGCUCGUAGUUGAAUUUCGGGAUCAGUACGCUGGUCGUGCCUUCGGUAUGCACUGGUUUCACUGACUCCUCCCUUCUGAAGAACCGUAAUGCCAUUCAGUUGGUGUGGCGGGGAAUCAGGAUUGUUACUUUGAAAAAUUAGAGUGUUUAAAGCAGGCUCGCGCUUGAAUACAUUAGCAUGGAAUAAUGAAAUAGGACGUUUGAUCCUAUUUUGUUGGUUUCUAGGAUCGACGUAAUGAUUAAUAGGGAUAGUUGGGGGCAUUAGUAUUCAAUUGUCAGAGGUGAAAUUCUUGGAUUUAUUGAAGACUAACUACUGCGAAAGCAUUUGCCAAGGAUGUUUUCAUUAAUCAAGAACGAAAGUUAGGGGAUCGAAGACGAUCAGAUACCGUCGUAGU
rnacentral:rRNA from 1 species